rnacentral:rRNA from 1 species
GAUGAACGCUGGCGGCGUGCCUAAUACAUGCAAGUCGAGCGAACAGACGAGGAGCUUGCUCCUCUGACGUUAGCGGCGGACGGGUGAGUAACACGUGGAUAACCUACCUAUAAGACUGGGAUAACUUCGGGAAACCGGAGCUAAUACCGGAUAACAUGUUGAACCGCAUGGUUCAACAGUGAAAGACGGUUUUGCUGUCACUUAUAGAUGGAUCCGCGUCGCAUUAGCUAGUUGAUAAGGUAACGGCUUACCAAGGCAACGAUGCGUAGCCGACCUGAGAGGGUGAUCGGCCACACUGGAACUGAGACACGGUCCAGACUCCUACGGGAGGCAGCAGUAGGGAAUCUUCCGCAAUGGGCGAAAGCCUGACGGAGCAACGCCGCGUGAGUGAAGAAGGUCUUCGGAUCGUAAAACUCUGUUAUUAGGGAAGAACAAAUGUGUAAGUAACUAUGCACGUCUUGACGGUACCUAAUCAGAAAGCCACGGCUAACUACGUG